AUUGAACGCUGGCGGCAUGCCUUACACAUGCAAGUCGAACGGCAGCGGGGGAGAAGCUUGCUUUUCCUGCCGGCGAGUGGCGCACGGGAGAGUACUACAUUGGAACGUGCCCUGAAGGGGGGGAUAACUAGUCUAAAGAUUAGCUAAAACCGCAUACGACCUGAGGGUGAAAGUGGGGGACCGCAAGGCCUCUUGCUAUAGGGGCGGCCGAGGUCUGAUUAGUCAGUUGGUGGGGUGAAGGCCUACCAGGGCGACGAUCAGUAGCUGGUCUGAGAGGACGAUCAGCCACACUGGGACGGAGACACGGCCCAGACUCCUACGGGAGGCAGCAGUGGGGAAUUUUGGACAAGGGGCGAAAGCCUGAUCCAGCAAUGCCGCGUGUGUGAAGAAGGCCUUCGGGUUGUAAAGCACUUUUGUCCGGAAAGAAAAGGCUCUGGUUAAUACCUGGGGUCUAUGACGGUACCGGAAGAAUAAGGACCGGCUAACUACGUGCCAGCCGCCGCCGUAA
rnacentral:rRNA from 1 species